AGCCCAUAGGAGAGAUGGAGCUGCAAGAUUGACGGGGCAUUUGUGAGAUCUGCCUUUUCCCACUCAGCGCUGACAAUAGCAAGUCACUGGAGAGUUUUGAGCAAGUGAAAAACAGUCCAAUCUAUCAUGCUGGCUGCUGUAUAAAGAGUAGACUAUAGGAGGGCCACUGUGGAAGAGGGGAACUGUCAGGAGGCCACUACAAUCAUCAAGGGAACAGAAAUGAACUGAAAUCAAGAAACAGAAGGGCCAAGGAAAGAAGUCCAUUUGAAUGUAUCAACAUGCAGGUUUAUUAAUUAUUCCCUGAAUAAUCAACAACUAAACCAUUCUGCAUUGCUUGGCUAUUGAAUAUGAUCAAACCUAUAUUUAUCAUUUGGAACUGAAGUUCAAUGUCUUAUACAAGCUUUGUUUGCUCAUGACUAUUCCGUCACCAUUUAUAGAAAGUAUAGUUUUUCAAAAGUGUGAAGAAUCCACCAGCUUUCUGAUCUUUGUGACUCCUCUUAAAGAAAUAAAUAACAACCAGACACAGGACCCCUCCUAUCUGGAUGGGAUCAAGUUAAAUGUCAUCCGUGGGUCAGAGGAGACAACCUAGGAAACCACCACCCAACAGUUUCCUUUAUUUUCCAUGACUGAACACUAGAAAAUUCCCAAAUCCUUCCACUACAAAGAGAAAAGAGUUGUAAAUCAACAGAACGGAAGAGAAACAAAAAGGCAUUUCCUCUAUCUUUAACAAAGGGAACUUAGAGUUAUCAAGAGAAGGAACACGACUUUCUACUUAGCUCCAUAAUUUUCAUUCUAAUGUUAUUAAAAAGAAGUCAUCAUUGGUACAUGGAAGGAUAAAUCUAUAUUUUAAAGUCCCUCUUUUCUGUUGUUGGUCACAAAAGGCAACAAAGAAGCAUCUAAUAAAUAGAAUCUCUUAUUUGAAACAUUGGAAAAAGGAUGCCAGCUCCUGGAAAAUACCUUGCCCAUCAGUAAAGAAAUCGGUCCACAGGGAAUAAAAAUGGAAUGGAGAGCUCUCCAAUGCUGCCCUAUGGGGAGAAAUAAAAGGGGUCUCCACAUGUGGACUUCAUAAAAACUUUGAUAUAAAAGAAAUCUAUUAUCAAAAGUACACGGUAACCCCAGCAAGUGUUCUGUUUAAUCUUUGCACAGAGGAUUUAGGGCCUGCAAAGUGCAAGAGGCAUGAUGCAUUGGCCAUUUUAGUAUUCAUGUCUCCUGUACUGCUUUCUAAUAAGUUAAGAUGAAACGGGAGACUGCGUGCAGGAGUGAGAGAUGCAAGAAAAGCAGUACUGAGAAAUAAAGAUGAACAAAAGUGC
rnacentral:lncRNA from 1 species